CUGCGGCUGCCACCGACCGACUGCACUGACUGCCGGACAGAGGGUUUGCUUAGUGUCAGGAAUGAAGGAUGGUGGAGGUGUAGAGGACGUAUGGAAAGAUGAGGAGUCACUACGAAAAAAGUGGAUCUGGGCCUGGUCAGUUGUCUGUAUUAUAUCCCUCCCGUUCGACUCAUUGAAGAAGAACUCUUCAUCCAGUUUGAGGACAGACCAAGAGACGAGCACAGUGGAGAAGAAGACCCAAAGGAAUUGUAUUGACAUGCUUUAGUAGAUGUGCAGGCUAAAGACCCAUGCCAGGCAGCCGAGGCAGGCCUUAGAGGACCACCAAGGACCAUAGAAGCAAAUGGACAACUAUUUUCUUUUCUACUCCACUUUUGCCAGCUCAUCAUUGUGAAUAAGAACGUGUUCUUA
rnacentral:lncRNA from 1 species